rnacentral:rRNA from 1 species
GUCAAAUCAUCAUGCCCCUUACAUCUAGGGCUACAGGCGUGCUACAAUGGCCAAUACAACGAGUUUGCCACACGGUAACGUGGAGCUAAUCUCUUAAAGUUGGUCCCAGUCCGGAUUGAGGUCUGCAAUUCGACCUCAUGAAGUUGGAAUCGCUAGUAAUCCCGAAUCAGAAUGUCGGGGUGAAUACGUUCUCGGGUGUU